CACACGUCGAGCGAUGAACGUCAGCCCCUGGUGGAAGCGGCUGCCAGAGGCAAUUUAAGAACCAUCAGCUCACUAAUAAAGUCGGCGUUAAUCUAGACGAAAGAAGCAACAGAAGAGACGACAUGGGUCGGACGGCGUUGCAUCUGAGCUCUGCGGCUGGACUUGAGGAGGUGGUGACGGAGUUACUUCGAUACGGAGCCACAAUUAAUGUUAAGGAUUACCAAGAGAUGCAGCCGCUGCACCUGGCCGCCGAGAGAAAUCAGGUGAAGGUUCUCUAUCAACUGGUGAACAAAGGUGCAUCGAAGGAAGCUCGAGACAUUGAAGGUUGGCGUCCUAUACACUUCGCUGCUGCCUGCGGCCAUACCAGGAUUUGGAGGAAUUGAAAAACCUGGGGUGCGACCUAGAAGCCAAGACGAAGAACAACUCGACCUCUCUCCAUCUGGCUGCAGAGAAUAACCAUCUGCAGGUGGUGCAGUGGCUAGUGGAGCAAGGCGCGAUCACCACUGCUGUUAACAAGCAGCAAGAACACAGCUGAAGACUGCGCCAGGAAGAAAUCUCACAAGGAAGUGGUCGACUUCCUUAAACAGUACCGAACAUUCGGAAAAGUGCAGCAGCAGAGGUACCAGGUGUACCCUGAUGAUGGUUCAGUAGGUACGAGCAGUGUUGCUGUGUCUAGGACACCUCGCUCUGCCCACCCUCAGGACACCCGUAGUGGUUCAGCAAGCUACAGAGGAGCCUCAUCCCCACCCCUGCCACCUCCUCAGUGGACUAACCCUCCUCAACCCGACUAUCAGCGUCAGGCCGACAAUCAGCGUCAGGCCGACUAUCAGCGUCAGGCCGACUAUCACCGUCAACCCGACUAUCAGCGUCAGACCGAUUAUCAGCGUCACCCCGACCUCCAACGUCAGCGCAACUACCAACGUCAGCUGGACACUUACCCUCAGACCAUUUCUUCCAUUUCUCCUCAGAGGCCCUCACACACUCAGCCCAGCUAUCACCCUCAGGCUUCUUCUUACCCGCAGACCUCCCCUUAUUCCUCUGCUCAGCGGAUCCCACAAACUCAGCUUAAUAUUCAGCCCCCGUCCCCCACUUACCCUCAGGACGCCCGUUUUCCCUCUCCUCACUGGUCCUCUCACACUCAAACUUACGAUCAACCUCAGCUUUCUCAUGAAAUACAGACUGUCAUUCACCCUCAGUCCUCUCACCCACUGGACUCCCUCACCCUCUAGACUCCCCUCACCCUCUGGACUCCCCUCACCCUCUAGACUCCCCUCAUCCUCUGGAUUCCCCUCAAGACAGGCAGUCAGAUCUAUCUACUCAGAUGCUGGUGGCGGCGGCGGAGGGGGGGGUGGAAGAGGUAGAGAGUUGUGUGGCAGCUGGAGCAGACUUGUCUUCCACCAGCACUAGGCCUGGAGAGGAAGGGUUGCAGGCGCUGCACCUGGCGUGUUGGGGCGGCCAUGUCCAGGUGGUGGAGAAGCUACUCGUACUGAAGGUCGACCAACGAGCUGUAGCCCAGGGUCGCGAGGGUGUCCACUGGGCGGCCUUCGGAGGUCACGUGAUGGUACUACGCGUGCUGAAAGAUCACGGAUGUGACAUCACUGUUUCUGCCUCCGGCGACGACAACGCCACACCGCUUCACCUAGCUGCCAUAACGACAACCUGGACGCGGUUCGCUGGUUGGUCGAACAAGGCGUCCAGAUUACGUCAAGAACAGCAUGGGCCUUACACCAGUUGACCUAGCAAUGAAAUCUUUUUCUGAAAACGUGUGUAACUACUUCCUCGAGGAACAAUUGAUUGAUGCAGCUGGUGCUGGCGACACGGAGACUACUCUCCGCCUGAUAGACAAUAAGGUUAAUGUUGACGCUCCCAGUUACAAGCCACAAUCCAGAGGUCGCAGGGCCCUUCACCAGGCUGCAGACGGAGGCCACACAACCGUGGUCGAGGCUCUCCUCAAUGCUAACGCUGACCCUAAUGCUGAGGACGACGAAGGAGUGCUGGGGAU